ensembl:lncRNA
AGUGCCUAGAAAUCACUACAUGUAAAUUUUUAGAAAUUAAGGCCUAGGUACAUGAUAACAAGGCAUGGAUGGAGAUCUUAGUCAAGAGCUAUUAAAUCGGGGAACAAAUAACUACCCAUUGUUAAUAGCGCCCCCUUCUCUUUAACUGUUCCCACCGCAGUCUUACUUGGGGUCUUCAAUGUAACCUUAGGAAGCUGCUUUGCGGCCCCCACCCCCUUCUACCCCCCAGUUUAGUUUACCUGUUAUCAGUGAACUACUAGCGUGUUCCAGAGAUGGAGGGAAUGCCUCAGGGGCUCCGGGGUCGGCUUUGGACUGGAAAAAAAGGAAGCUAUCGGAGUUUUGACGGCUUUGUCUCCACUCCUCUCUCUUCAAUAACAGUCUGCUGCUCAGUCUCCCCCUGCAAUGCAGCCCCUCCUAAGAUGGGCGGAAGGACUCCCCGCCCCCUCCGUGCCUGACUCGGCUAAUUCAAAUGAUAGGUUCAGAACACUUUAGGGAGGGAGGGAGGCUUAAAGCGUCUCCAUAGGCUUAUUGGUCUGCACCAUUCUUUCUGAUCCCUUCCAGCAUCCUCGUGUUGGGGUGCAAUGAACGAGCUACUAAUUGUCCUCUUAUGUAGAUUUAUGGUUUAAAAAUAUUCACUGUAGAACACAAUGGGGUGGGGACUUGUCCCUUUCUUCCCCAAUCGAAGGACUUCAGGUUACUAGGUGUUUCUAAGAGAAUAAGAAAAUUUCUUCACCCCUCUUCCAACCCCUAUUCCUCUCGCCUCAUCUCUCCACUCAUUGCUUAUCUCCCUAGCAAUGGGUAAAGAAACCUAUCCUUAUUCCAUUUGGGGCCGAGCAUAAGAGAUUGGGGAAGGGUGUUGGUAGGGGAACUUGGGGGCUCUGCCUCGUUCGGGUCCCGCAAUGGCUGGUGCACCUAGGCUACGCGCGAGUCCAGCUUGCCCAGCCCGGGGACCAGGUCCUCGAGGAUGUCCACGAGAUUUUCCCGUGAGCAGUUCCCAGGGGCGGUGCUGCUCGGGGGCUGCCGAGGUCCCAUCCCGCGUCCCUCGGCGGUGCAGUGCCUCGGCAGUCCAGUGGGGAGCUGUGCGCUCGGCUCCAAGACGGACGGGUUUCGUAAUCGCGUCGCCGCCGUUUCCGCCCUCUGCCAGCCCCACCUCUGCCGGUCCGCCCUCUGCUCCCCACCGCGCGGAGGAGCGCUCCCGCGAACCCGUACCGGCCGGCCCCUGGCGGGAGCCCCCCACCAGCUGUGGCUGGGCGCCUCGAUGCCCGAGAAGAGCAGGUGAGACCGCGGACUGGGUCCCCCGGCGCGGCCGCUCGCCCCGCCCGCGGGGCCAGGCGGAGACGCACCGGAUGCUGGGGGUGGGGAGGGUGAGGAGGGGCCGCCGCGAUGCUGGGUCGGGGGGAAAGGGUUGCACUCCGCGGAGACCGGGGCGGACCGGUUCGCAGGCCAAGGCCGCUGAGGCGUGGACGGGAAGGAAGGGACUGGAGCGUCGGGGGAAGGGUUCCAAAUCUGAGGACAACAUAACCUGUGCCUGCCUGCCUGCCCCUCUGUCUGGCCCUGUUUAUCUCUUGGGAGUCUGA